GGAGAAGUUUCCUUGGAAGAUCAGCAAGGAGGAAGUCACUACGCUCAACGAGAAGGCUGGUACAAGGACAAGAUUGUGCCCAAGAUGGAGUUCUGUGCUGUUGGUUCUAGGCCGGGGGAUGAGCCACGUAGAGCCCACAUCCUGGCGUUCUUUAUCACAGCUGCCGGCAUAGCCAUUGGCCACAGAUUAUUGCAUUGACUGGUUGCCCUGGAUGCAGGCCUGCCC